GGCAAAUAGGGAGGCGAAGAAGCCAGGCCUGCAAUACGGUCACCUCGGUCUGGCAGAGCUAGUGGUGAGACCGGACCUAUCCCAC
rnacentral:ncRNA from 1 species